rnacentral:rRNA from 1 species
GACGAACGCUGGCGGCGUGCCUAAUACAUGCAAGUCGAACGCAGGGGGGACGGGUGAGUAACACGUGGGUAACCUCCCAUCAGAGGGGAUAACAUUUGGAAACAGGUGCUAAACCGAUACUGAUGGAUGGACCCGCGGUGCAUUAGCUAGUUGGUGAGGGAACGGCUCACCAAGGCCACGAUGCAUAGCCGACCUGAGAGGGUGUGCGGCCACACGGGGACUGAUACACGGCCCAGACUCCUACUGGAGGAAGCAGUAGGGAAUCUUCGGCAAUGGACGAAAGUCUGACGCAGCCACGCCGCGUGAGUGAAGAAGGGUUUCGGAGCGUAAAACUCUGUUGGUAGAGAAGCGGUAUCUAACCAGAAAGCCACGGCUAACUACGUGCCAGCAGCCGCGGUAAUAC